UACGAAGGGGGCUAGCGUUGUUCGGAAUUACUGGGCGUAAAGCGUGCGCAGGCGGCUUCUCAAGUCAGGGGUGAAAGCCCAGAGCUCAACUCUGGAAUUGCCUUUGAGACUGAGUGGCUUGAGUACGAGAGAGGUGAGUGGAAUUCCCAGUGUAGAGGUGAAAUUCGUAGAUAUUGGGAAGAACACCGGUGGCGAAGGCAGCUCACUGGCCCGGUACUGACGCUGAGGCACGAAAGCGUGGGGAGCAAACAGG
rnacentral:rRNA from 1 species